rnacentral:rRNA from 1 species
GCCCAGCUUGCUGGGUGGAUUAGUGGCGAACGGGUGAGUAACACGUGAGUAACCUGCCCUUAACUCUGGGAUAAGCCUGGGAAACUGGGUCUAAUACCGGAUAGGAGCGCCGACCGCAUGGUGGGUGUUGGAAAGAUUUAUCGGUUUUGGAUGGACUCGCGGCCUAUCAGCUUGUUGGUGAGGUAAUGGCUCACCAAGGCGACGACGGGUAGCCGGCCUGAGAGGGUGACCGGCCACACUGGGACUGAGACACGGCCCAGACUCCUACGGGAGGCAGCAGUGGGGAAUAUUGCACAAUGGGCGCAAGCCUGAUGCAGCGACGCCGCGUGAGGGAUGACGGCCUUCGGGUUGUAAACCUCUUUCAGUAGGGAAGAAGCGAAAGUGACGGUACCUGCAGAAGAAGCACCGGCUAACUACGUGCCAGCAGCCGCGGUAAUACGUAGGGUGCGAGCGUUAUCCGGAAUUAUUGGGCGUAAAGAGCUCGUAGGCGGUUUGUCGCGUCUGUCGUGAAAGUCCGGGGCUUAACCCCGGAUCUGCGGUGGGUACGGGCAGACUAGAGUGCAGUAGGGGAGACUGGAAUUCCUGGUGUAGCGGUGGAAUGCGCAGAUAUCAGGAGGAACACCGAUGGCGAAGGCAGGUCUCUGGGCUGUAACUGACGCUGAGGAGCGAAAGCAUGGGGAGCGAACAGGAUUAGAUACCCUGGUAGUCCAUGCCGUAAACGUUGGGCACUAGGUGUGGGGACCAUUCCACGGUUUCCGCGCCGCAGCUAACGCAUUAAGUGCCCCGCCUGGGGAGUACGGCCGCAAGGCUAAAACUCAAAGGAAUUGACGGGGGCCCGCACAAGCGGCGGAGCAUGCGGAUUAAUUCGAUGCAACGCGAAGAACCUUACCAAGGCUUGACAUGUUCUCGAUCGCCGUA